UCUUAGCUUGCUAAGGCCGAUGGCGACCGGCGCACGGGUGAGUAACACGUAUCCAACCUGCCGUCUACUCUUGGACAGCCUUCUGAAAGGAAGAUUAAUACAAGAUGGCAUCAUGAGUUCACAUGUUCACAUGAUUAAAGGUAUUCCGGUAGACGAUGGGGAUGCGUUCCAUUAGAUAGUAGGCGGGGUAACGGCCCACCUAGUCUUCGAUGGAUAGGGGUUCUGAGAGGAAGGUCCCCCACAUUGGAACUGAGACACGGUCCAAACUCCUACGGGAGGCAGCAGUGAGGAAUAUUGGUCAAUGGGCGAGAGCCUGAACCAGCCAAGUAGCGUGAAGGAUGACUGCCCUAUGGGUUGUAAACUUCUUUUAUAAAGGAAUAAAGUCGGGUAUGCAUACCCGUUUGCAUGUACUUUAUGAAUAAGGAUCGGCUAACUCCGUGCCAGCAGCCGCGGUAAUACGGAGGAUCCGAGCGUUAUCCGGAUUUAUUGGGUUUAAAGGGAGCGUAGAUGGAUGUUUAAGUCAGUUGUGAAAGUUUGCGGCUCAACCGUAAAAUUGCAGUUGAUACUGGAUAUCUUGAGUGCAGUUGAGGCAGGCGGAAUUCGUGGUGUAGCGGUGAAAUGCUUAGAUAUCACGAAGAACUCCGAUUG
rnacentral:rRNA from 1 species